rnacentral:rRNA from 1 species
CCUACGGGAGGCAGCAGUGGGGAAUAUUGCACAAUGGGGGAAACCCUGAUGCAGCGACGCCGCGUGAGUGAAGAAGUAUUUCGGUAUGUAAAGCUCUAUCAGCAGGGAAGAAAAUGACGGUACCUGAUUAAGAAGCCCCGGCUAACUACGUGCCAGCAGCCGCGGUAAUACGUAGGGGGCAAGCGUUAUCCGGAUUUACUGGGUGUAAAGGGAGCGUAGACGGCAGCACAAGUCUGGAGUGAAAUGCCGGGGCUUAACCCCGGAACUGCUUUGGAAACUGUGCAGCUAGAGUGCAGGAGAGGUAAGUGGAAUGCCUAGUGUAGCGGUGAAAUGCGUAGAUAUCAGGAGGAACACCGGUGGCGAAGGCGGCUUACUGGACCAUAACUGACGUUGAGGCUCGAAAGCGUGGGGAGCGAACAGGAUUAGAUACCCGAGUAGUC